GGGCGCGUAGCUCAGGUGGAUAGAGCAUCAGCCUUCUAAGCUGAGGGUCCCUGGUUCGAGUCCAGGCGCGCCUACCA
rnacentral:tRNA from 1 species